rnacentral:lncRNA from 1 species
GUGAGACUUCUAAAUUCACCAGAAGUUCCUUUGGCAGUUGUUUUAUUUUUGAGAGUAGUUGGAAGAAAGCAGUUUUAGAAACACAAAAGAUUAAGAAAGAAUAUACCACAGCAUUUGGUCUAGGGGAGCUCAAAGAAUGUAUCAAAAUGCCAUAUUUACCAGGACUGCAAAGUUGCCAAAAAAGUGUAAGUUCAACUCCACUAGAGGUUCCUAAAAGACUGCCACGUGCUGAUGCCGAGGUGUCUGCAGUCAGGCUAAAGAAGACUAAGGAGACAUGCAGUGUGGCACCACUUUGGGAGAAAUCAAAAGGUUCUGGCUUCAGUGAUCCUCUCACUGGAGCACCAUCUCAAUACUUAGAGAGACUUUCCAAAAUAGCCAUAUUGGA